rnacentral:rRNA from 1 species
UACGAAGGAUGCGAGCGCUAUCCGGAUUUAUUGGGUUUAAAGGGAGCGUAGGCGGUCUUAUAAGUCAGUGGUGAAAUCCUAUCGCUUAACGAUAGACGUGCCAUUGAUACUGUAGGACUUGAGUACAGAUGCCGUUGGCGGAAUGUGUCAUGUAGCGGUGAAAUGCAUAGAUAUGACACAGAACACCGAUUGCGAAGGCAGCUGACGAAACUGUAACUGACGCUGAGGCUCGAAAGCGUGGGGAUCAAACAGG